rnacentral:lncRNA from 1 species
GAAAAAUGUCUACUCUGUCCUGUAAAGUUAGAGAUAUUUUUGUUGUUUAAUCUUUGACACUUGUAUGGAAACACUACAUCUUGAUAACCAAAUUCCGGAAACUGCUGUCGAUGCUAAUAUACAUACCUACCCACACAAUAAAGGUCUAGUAGCCCUUUUAAGUAACUUGAAUAUUUAAUAUCCAUUACCUCAGUGUUAAUCAUUUGAAAAUAACCACGUAUAUCUAUAAUACUAAAAUUACGAGGUCCAAUUUGUCAGCCGUCAUCACGUAAAAACGACGAAUCAAAGAAUUCAACUUUAUAUACAACUAAUAUAGUACAAAGGUGUAGAUUAAAAAUUACACCACUCCAGGCCCUUUUGUUUUCCACGUAAUUAAUAUCGCCAAUAAUUAGGAAGUUCCGGGUCGAGUCCGAUACCGAUACCAAUAGUAUAAUCACCUGUUACCUAUUACCUUAUCUGUACGUUCCGCAUCUGACAGGCGCACCACCAAACGGUGUAUUUAGGAUUAAUAUGCUAUAUAAACGGGUCAUAAUCACAGGGUUGACACUACUAAAUUGUCAAAUUGUUACCUAUUGUAGUAUUUUAAUCCGUAAGACUUUCUAAGAUAACAAUACGAAUACUAAAAAUUUGGACUAAAAUAAGUUUCAAUUUGUUAGCGGGCAUGACGUAAAACAGCGAAUCAAAGAAUUCAACUUUAUUUAUAACUAAUAUAGGACAAUGCUGUUGAUUAAAAAAUACUCCAUUCCAGGACCUUUUGUUUUCCAAAUAUUUAAUAUUACCAAUAAUUGAUAAGUUCCAGUUCGACGGGUUCAAACAAAAAGAUUUGAAAGCAGAGAAAAUUGUGUAUCUUAUAAUCGGCAUGACUUUAUCAGAUGACAGUACUAAUACUAAGAUAAGGCUUGCGCA